rnacentral:sRNA from 1 species
GCCGGGUGUGGUGGCACACACCUGUAAUCAUAGCAACUUGGAGGCUGAGAUAGGAGGAUCAUGAGUUCAAAGACAGCCUCAGCAAAAUCGAGGUGCUAAGCAACUCAGUGAGACCCUGUCUUUA